rnacentral:rRNA from 1 species
UACGUAGGGUGCAAGCGUUGUCCGGAAUUAUUGGGCGUAAAGAGCUCGUAGGCGGUUUGUCGCGUCUGCUGUGAAAACUCGGGGCUUAACCCCGGGCCUGCAGUGGGUACGGGCAGACUAGAGUGCGGUAGGGGAGACUGGAAUUCCAGGUGUAGCGGUGAAAUGCGUAGAUAUCUGGAGGAACACCGGUGGCGAAGGCGGGUCUCUGGGCCGAUACUGACGCUGAGGAGCGAAAGCGUGGGGAGCGAACAGG